ACUAUGUUAUUUGCUGAAACACAUUUGUGUUUAAACUUUUAAACAAUCCACUGAACAUUGAAGUAGGCAACCUGAAGUUUGCUUUGCCACAGAAGCAGUAAGUUAAAAAAUUACAUAAUCAUAAUAGUAAGGAAGGAUCUCAAAGCAAGAAAUAAGUUAUACAUGCAACUUAGAUAUGCUGAGGUUUUCAGGUGACUUACAGAAUUCCUCUAGAACUACAAUCCUUAUAGGCAGAUCCUAGUAUUAUGAUUGCUCUGAAAUGUACAUUCUGGACCUAUGCUGCAUUAGCUAGCCUCCAACUAUCACAGUUCCUAAAUUCCAAUGGAUAUAACUGAACAACAGUUUAUGAAAUGGUAGCAUAGCCUGUGUGAGAAUGCCUGUACAGGAAUUUGAAUAAAAUGCUUUUAGAUGGCCUCUAAAGUCAGUUAAAAAUCACCACAUGUUUUUAAUUACAAUGUCACUCAUACUUACAUCUAUUUAUCUGUCAUUGCCUCAAGUCUUGGUUUCUGCUGAUUAAAUCUGUCUUAGCAACUGUUUUAUAAUAAUAUUUCUAGAUAUGAAAUGGCCAUAGAUACUCUGCUUUCUGGUUAGCUUGUCUUAAUGAAUAACCACAUUUUCUUAUUUUCCCAUAAGAAAGGAACAUGGUACAUUAGAAAAAGUUAAGGCAGAAUGACCUCUUCCCACCUCUAUCCUGAACAAAUCUCUGAACAUUCUCUUUGUACAGCCUUAUAUACCUUCACUUUAAUUUUUUUUAAAUAAUGGCCAAUGUUGGUCACAUUUCUUACAAAGAUCUAAAACUUACUGCAAACUCAUUAAAGUCAACAGCAACAAAGAGGAAACAAGCUUUCAAAAUGUGGAAGCUUUAGCUAAUUUACACAAUCACUAAAAAUUAACACCAAAUGAUACUGAAAAUGAUGGAUGCAACCUCACCACCAAAUCUGUCAUUCCAAUACCAUAGGCACACCGUGCACAUGUGUAUUCACUAAAUAGGGAAACCCCGGGCCAAACUUUUAAAGAGAUCCUUUUUCAUAGCACUUUUCUUAAAAGGAAUUUUUUUACCAAGAAAAUUAUAAAUCAUAGUAUUUUAGAUCUCCCAGUAUCUGCCAUAUUAGGUCAAAAGUGGCCCAUAUUUUAAUGGCAACAGUUAAAUACAUUUUGGAAGAGUUAUUUCAAUGAAUACUUGAAGCCUGACAUGGGGACACAUAGCCCAAUUCUGGUAUACCGUUGGCAUUAAAAAAAACAUUGCUUUUUGUGUCAUAUUUGGACACAAGGCAUUUAGUAGGUAUAUACUGACUAUUUGCAAAUCCUCUUAAGAGGGGUUAGUCGUUGGUUGGAGGACAAACAGCUGGCUAGUCACUUGGCUCUACCAGGUUGUAGGGGACGCUUGUAUCUGUUGCCCUCAAAUGUCCAUGAAAUUCUGAAGCCUGACAGGCUGCUUCAAGAUAAAUCAGACUUUUAGUGAAUAAAUAAUAGGUCCUCUUUUCUUAUACAUUCCGAACUAUUUUGCUAAAUAGAUUUCAAAAGUUUUCCUCUAUAAGGUCUACUUGGCAGUGUUUUGUUCUAAGACAUAAAGCUGAAAUACCAAGACAUUUUUAAUAAUCAGAAUACAACCUAAAACCCCAGAAGUACGCCAUGGUUUACAACAAUCAAGCUCCCAGUCUACUCAUUAGAGAUGCUAAAUACUACAUCUUUGUUGAUAAAACCUAAACUCCUAAACCUUCCUAAAAGGCCUCCAAGGUUUUACCACCGACUUUUCCUCCUCCUCUGUAGAAUAAUGUAAGUUUCCCACCAGCAGCCAAUUUGCCCUAUUUUUGCUAUCAGAACUCCAGUUGUAUGUGCUUAUUUUAUCCCCAGGGGGUGAAUUAGGAUCAUUCUAACACAAUAAUCAUAAUGUUGUCUCCCUUCGUCACAUAGCCUUUUUCCACACCCCUAUGCAGCUAGAAAUGACUGUAUUUCCUAAUGGAAGAAACAAAUGUGGCUGGAACCUCCCCUUCCCUCUCUUUCUUACAUGGAUGUAACGUCUGGUGUUGUGACAUCCAUGUUAAAAACCAUGGGCCUUGCCCUGGUCAGGUGGUUCAAUUGGUUUGAGCACUGCCUCCCACACUAAACAGGUUGCAGGUUCAAUUUCUGGUCAGUGCAUCUACCUAAGUUGUGGGCUUCAGUGUGUAUACUGGAGGCGACCCAUCCAUGUCUCUCUCUCUCUCUCUCCCCCCCUGCCCCCUCCCCACCCCAUUCCUCUCUCUCUAAAAUCAAUAAAAAUAUAUAUUCAGGUGAAGGAAAAAAGUGGAUUUUAAGCAGCUGAGGGAAAGCCAGCAGCAAAUGAAGGAAGACAGAAUGGAAAGCUAAAAAGAGCCAACAUCCUUCACAGAAUUAUUCUAAGCACUGAUCACUGGCAAGAAGUAACUUAGGGCACUUUGACUCCUCUCCAUGCCCAUCCUCUUAUUCUAGAUGGUCAGAAGUAAUAAAAUAGCUUGCUCACCCCCUCUUGGUGGCCAUUUUGUGGAGUAGUGAAGAAUGCACAGGGUUCCAAAGACAGAGCUGGAUCCAAGUUUUACUUCUGCCAUUUACAAUCUAUGGCCUCAGCAAGUUACUAAUUUCUUUAUGCGAAGUACUCUACACAGUGCCCACGUAAAGGUGAGUGUAAUCAUAGUCAGUUACUAGUAUUAUUGUUGGUAGUCUCCUCAGACGAGAUGUGCUUUCCCUGAUCUGCUUCCUUCAGUCUUCUCUUCAUUAUACACUCUCAUUUAUUAUAAAUAAUGGCCUGUGAAACCGUAGAGCUUUGAGACUCCCAGGUAUUUCUGAAAAGGUCUCAGGAGUGCUAGCAACCUCUCCACCCCAGCACACCUCCUUCACCUUCAACAAAGCAGCAGAACACUCCAUUCCCCGGAGCUGGGGUGAAGCAUCCUAUUGGAGUAGAUGAGCAUUAGACCUAGCUGAGCAUCUUCAGUUGGAAGUAUAGGUGUCCAGAAGUGGAAAAGAAAAUAGAGAAAUGCCAAGUAAACACAGAGGUGGAGGUCAUAUGAAGGGGGUAAGUUAUCUCCGAAGUAAAGGAAUUAUACCCACAGAGCAGAAAAUCUAUGUGAGUCAAGACAAAGUCAGAGUCAGGGAAUGAAGACUAAUGGGAAAGCUCCCAAGCUGCUACCUGGGAUCAGAGACCCUUUUCAUGAGGUUCCAUGAGGUCUUCUGAAACUAGGUAGGUGUUGAAAGAAGCAAAUUUCCUCCAGAUUUCUGCAAACCAACAUAAGUCAAAGAAGGGCUAGAGCCUUACACAAAUGUUGCUUUCUUAGCUUCAGUUACAUUCCCUCCUCUACUAGUGAUAAGAACUUAAAAAACACUUCAGGAAUCAAAUAGUUGACAUUUCUUACUCUAUAGUAAAGGAAAAGACCCAGUCAAAUACACUAAGUAGCAAAGCCAGAAAUGAAUCCAAGUUUUAAUUCUGAGGUUGUUUUUUCUACUGUAUUGCAUUUUCUCAUGCUCUAAUUCAUCUUCUACCAUCUCUAAUCUAUUCAUUUCCCAGUCAAGCCAGAGACAAAUUCUUACCUAGUUAAACCAGUCUCAAAAUGGCCAAUUUCUCAGAACAGUUCUUUUCUGAGGCCCACUUGCUUUCUCAUUGAAGAGUCUUGGAUUCUUGAGAGAGAGAGAGA